UUUUUUUUCCCAGACUCGGGGUCAGGGGAGUUGCCUCUUAUCACAGCAUGGCUCCACCUUUGAUAGGACUACAAAGAAGAGCAGUCCUGUGUCGGGGAAGUAAGCAUGGACAUCUUCUAGCAAAAGGAAAGGAAGAUCCUGCUCCCUUACCACUGGUCUCUGCACUGCUCUGUUGACCUUGCAGCCUCCAUGCAGCUGCUGCCUCAGACCACUUCUGCAGCGCUCUCCUGGGGUGGAGCAUCCCACUUCCUGGAGCCUGUCAUUAUCAUGAUGGAGUCUGGAGGAGGGAGAGGAAGAACUAGAAGCUUUAGUGAUGUUGUAGCAGUGGUUCUCAACCUCAACUGCUCAUCGGAAUCAUCUGGAAAGCUUUGACAAGUCAGUGUGCUCAGAAGACGUGGCCCUGUUGAAAUUACUGCCACCAUCCACGGCGGGAGAGCAGGAGGACGCAGACGAGGCAGGCAGUGAGUGCACAGAUUUAAGGCAUAGAACUCCUUCUUCUCUACAGAUUUUAUUCUCACAGAAUGUCUUUCAAGAUUUUAAGGACUGAAUUUUUGGGGAAACCUUGCAAAAUGGCUCAAGAUGAGGAGAUCUAGUCACCCUCCUGAAAGAAUCUUGCAGAAUAGGUGCUGUGACUUCUCUCACUACACAGAUGAAGAAACUGAGACUCACAAAGACGAAGGAAGCUAUGAACUGGAGGCUGAUGACAGAGCCCAAAUGUCUCUUUCCAAAGGACUUAAAGUUAACCUUACGAUUUCAUUCUGCUCUGAAGCAAUUCCUCUCCUAAAACAGAGAAAUCCACAUUCAAGAAAAGAAAAACCGAGAAACAAUGUGAAUUAGUAUGGGCAGCAGCAGCUGAGAAUUAUAGCUCCCUGGGCCCUCCAAGCCCUCUGGUGACUGUGUCAGAUUUUAACAAACCCUCUCUCCUCUCUUCCCAGGCUGCUCUUAAUGCACUACCUUAGAGCAUAAAUAUCUGAUUCCUUUAAAUAUCUGAUUCAUUGGUGCUCCAAUGAAUGCAUUCCACCCUCCCCCACUCAUUUUCUUUCUAGUUGGAGGAACAAGGUGAUCUCCAGAUCAACAGAGAACAAUAAGGGGUGGUCUGGCUACAUUUGCAACUGCCUUUGCUGCUCCCAAUUCUGCUGAUGGCUCUGCAGAUGCCCCCUCCUGCACUUGCCUGAGAUCUGCAAGCUCAGAGCCACUGCACUUCUGGAUGGAGUAAGCUGAGCUGUCUGGUCUGGUUGCUACUCCUGGGAACUCAGUGUCAGCUAAAGAAUGGAAGCCAAGAGAAACGAUGGACAAUCCUCUCCUUCUCGAGACAAAACUGGCUGAGACCAAUAUGGAGGCAGAAGUGAGACAAGCACACCCACCAGCACCAUGACAGAGCUGGUAAAGACCACAUCUGGAAGGAAAAGGAGUGUGAAUGCAGUUGCGGGAAAACCCUGCCUAUUUUCCUCUUAUGCCACUGACACAGACCCUUUAGCUUCUCCCCUCCUUUUUUAGUCUCCCCUAUAAAUCCCUGCUUCUCCCCAGUUUGGGUAGAUGGCCUUUGUGACAGUAGGCUGCCAUGUCCUCACAUCUGCAGGAAACUGAUUAAACCUCUUGUCUCUCAAGUUUUGUCUGAUGAGUGGCAAGUGGCCAUACCCACCCCCCAAAUGCCUGCAACAAUAGAGCCACCAAACUCCCACAAAAGAGUCCUCUGACUCCAAGGUUCGACUGUACAGAGCAAUCAUAUUAAAAUUUUGAUCAAACUCUACAUGACAAUUUGUUGUUCUCUAAGAUAGCCCUGCACAGUUGUUCAGGUUGAACACUGAACAACCUAGGGAGUAACACUGAACAUUCGUGAUAUAGAAUAUAACUUGUAUAUUUCUUGCAACAAAUUUCUGGCAGG